GGGAACGUACCCUUUGGUUCGGAAUAACGCUGGGAAACUAGCGCUAAUACCGGAUACGCCCUUUUGGGGAAAGGCUUGCUGCCGAAGGAUCGGCCCGCGUCUGAUUAGCUAGUUGGUGGGGUAAUGGCCUACCAAGGCGACGAUCAGUAGCUGGUCUGAGAGGAUGAUCAGCCACACUGGGACUGAGACACGGCCCAGACUCCUACGGGAGGCAGCAGUGGGGAAUAUUGGACGAUGGGCGCAAGCCUGAUCCAGCCAUGCCGCGUGAGUGAUGAAGGCCUUAGGGUUGUAAAGCUCUUUUGUCCGGGACGAUAAUGACGGUACCGGAAGAAUAAGCCCCGGCUAACUUCGUGCCAGCAGCCGCGGUAAUACGAAGGGGGCUAGCGUUGCUCGGAAUCACUGGGCGUAAAGGGCGCGUAGGCGGCCAUUCAAGUCGGGGGUGAAAGCCUGUGGCUCAACCACAGAAUUGCCUUCGAUACUGUUUGGCUUGAGUUUGGUAGAGGUUGGUGGAACUGCGAGU
rnacentral:rRNA from 1 species